UAAAUAUUUCAGUGUGUUUAGGGAUUGAAUUAUUCAGCCCUGUGUUUUGGUAUUCUGGAUGCAUGUAUGGGGGGGCGGGUCAUCAAAGAUAAAUUCCUUUCCUUUUCCGCUUUUCGCUCAUUCAGUCGUUCUUUUCAUUCGGAGACGCUGUCCGUGAAGGUUUGGUUCAUUCUUACAGGAAACUAUCUCCCCUGAUAUUUUUCGGCUCAAAAAUGUUUCAAGUAGGAUUAAUGCCUUGGUGAAGUCGGGCUUUUUCAAGGCAGUCUAAUGUCACUUGGAUUUGUUGCAGCCAGUUGGUUAACAGUGUGGUGAGCUGUUGUAUGAAGACCAUGUGCUGUUGUGAUGAGCUUCUGCAUGCAGCCUGUAGUGCUGGGGGAAGUGCUGUAUGCUGUCUUUAGAGUGUGGUGCUAGCUUUAAAUUUGGAGAAUUAACUACUUAACUAUUAGUUUUGAGUCAUUCAUUUUUUAAUUGUUUUCAAAGUCAGUUUGAGUUUAUUUCAGUGUCUAUUUGGUGUGCAGUUCAUGUUCGGGUGGUUUUGUUGCAACCAGAUGUUGAUAGAGAGUUCAAGGCAAGUUGAGCUGCAGGUUCUGUAAGCAAUCUUCAUUGCUGGUGCCAUCCUAGAGUUAGAUAGCAACGUAGUCAUCUGGAAAUGGAUCGUGUAAAUGUUCAGCGGUUUCGUAAUCUGAUUCUAGUCAAGAUUUUAUCCUGAAUUGAGCUGAAGUCCCUGCAGUAACUGUUUCUGGUGUUAUCCUGAUGUUGCUGUGCCGGUGAAAUACCAGUUGAUAAAAAUUUGAUCUGUAUGUGUUUCAUCCUAAGUAUAUCGAAGAUUAACGUUUGUGAUUGAAUUCUCUAUUAUGACAAAAGUAUCAACUGUAGUCAUCCUAGAUGACGAAAUUACCUCAACCCUUAUUAUUGCAAUUUUUUAUUAUCCUUGUAAAUUUACAAAAAUCUAAUGUUACAAUAAAAAAAAAUUAAGCUUUUAAA